rnacentral:rRNA from 1 species
GUAGGUGGCAAGCGUUGUCCGGAAUUAUUGGGCGUAAAGCGCGCGCAGGCGGGGUCCUUUAAGUCUGAUGUGAAAGCCCACGGGCUCAACCGUGGAGGGUCAUUGGAAACUGGGACUUGAGUACAGAAGAGGAAAGCGGAAUUCCAAGUGUAGCGGUGAAAUGCGUAGAGAUUUGGAGGAACACCAGUGGCGAAGGCGGCUUUCUGGUCUGUAACUGACGCUGAGGCGCGAAAGCGUGGGGAGCAAACAGGAUUAGAUACCCUGGUAGUCCACGCCGUAAACGAUGAGUGCUAAGUGUUAGGGGGUUUCCGCCCCUUAGUGCUGCAGCUAACGCAUUAAGCACUCCGCCUGGGGAGUACGGCCGCAAAGGCUG